rnacentral:rRNA from 1 species
GGUUAAGCGACUAAGCGUACACGGUGGAUGCCCUGGCAGGCAGUCAGAGGCGAUGAAGGACGUGCUAAUCUGCGAAAAGCGUCGGUAAGGUGAUAUGAACCGUUAUAGCCGGCGAUGUCCGAAUGGGGAAACCCAGUGCAAUUCGUUGCACUAUCGUUAACUGAAUACAUAGGUUAACGAGGCGAACCGGGGGAACUGAAACAUCUAAGUACCCCGAGGAAAAGAAAUCAACCGAGAUUCCCCCAGUAGCGGCGAGCGAACGGGGAGCAGCCCAGAGUCUGAAUCAGCUUGUGUGUUAGUGGAACGGUCUGGAAAGUCCGACGGUACAGGGUGAUAGUCCCGUACACCAAAAUGCACAGGUUGUGAACUCGAAGAGUAGGGCGGGACACGUGGUAUCCUGUCUGAAUAUGGGGGGACCAUCCUCCAAGGCUAAAUACUCCUGACUGACCGAUAGUGAACCAGUACCGUGAGGGAAAGGCGAAAAGAACCCCGGCGAGGGGAGUGAAAAAGAACCUGAAACCGUGUACGUACAAGCAGUGGGAGUGGGAGCACCUUCGGGUGUGACUGCGUACCUUUUGUAUAAUGGGUCAGCGACUUAUAUUCUGUAGCAAGGUUAACCGUAUAGGGGAGCCGCAGGGAAACCGAGUCUUAACUGGGCGUUAAGUUGCAGGGUAUAGACCCGAAACCCGGUGAUCUAGCCAUGGGCAGGUUGAAGGUUGGGUAACACUAACUGGAGGACCGAACCGACUAAUGUUGAAAAAUUAGCGGAUGACUUGUGGCUGGGGGUGAAAGGCCAAUCAAACCGGGAGAUAGCUGGUUCUCCCCGAAAGCUAUUUAGGUAGCGCCUCGUGAACUCAUCUUCGGGGGUAGAGCACUGUUUCGGCUAGGGGGUCAUCCCGACUUACCAACCCGAUGCAAACUACGAAUACCGAAGAAUGUUAUCACGGGAGACACACGGCGGGUGCUAACGUCCGUCGUGAAGAGGGAAACAACCCAGACCGCCAGCUAAGGUCCCAAAGUCAUGGUUAAGUGGGAAACGAUGUGGGAAGGCACAGACAGCCAGGAUGUUGGCUUAGAAGCAGCCAUCAUUUAAAGAAAGCGUAAUAGCUCACUGGUCGAGUCGGCCUGCGCGGAAGAUGUAACGGGGCUAAACCAUGCACCGAAGCUGCGGCAGCGACACUAUGUGUUGUUGGGUAGGGGAGCGUUCUGUAAGCCUGCGAAGGUGUGCUGUGAGGCAUGCUGGAGGUAUCAGAAGUGCGAAUGCUGACAUAAGUAACGAUAAAGCGGGUGAAAAGCCCGCUCGCCGGAAGACCAAGGGUUCCUGUCCAACGUUAAUCGGGGCAGGGUGAGUCGACCCCUAAGGCGAGGCCGAAAGGCGUAGUCGAUGGGAAACAGGUUAAUAUUCCUGUACUUGGUGUUACUGCGAAGGGGGGACGGAGAAGGCUAUGUUAGCCGGGCGACGGUUGUCCCGGUUUAAGCAUGUAGGCUGGUUAUCCAGGCAAAUCCGGAUAAUCAAGGCUGAGGUGUGAUGACGAGGCACUACGGUGCUGAAGUAACAAAUGCCCUGCUUCCAGGAAAAGCCUCUAAGCAUCAGGUAACAUCAAAUCGUACCCCAAACCGACACAGGUGGUCAGGUAGAGAAUACCAAGGCGCUUGAGAGAACUCGGGUGAAGGAACUAGGCAAAAUGGUGCCGUAACUUCGGGAGAAGGCACGCUGGUGUGUAGGUGAAGCCCCUGCGGGUGGAGCUGAGACCAGUCGAAGAUACCAGCUGGCUGCAACUGUUUAUUAAAAACACAGCACUGUGCAAACACGAAAGUGGACGUAUACGGUGUGACGCCUGCCCGGUGCCGGAAGGUUAAUUGAUGGGGUUAUCCGUAAGGAGAAGCUCUUGAUCGAAGCCCCGGUAAACGGCGGCCGUAACUAUAACGGUCCUAAGGUAGCGAAAUUCCUUGUCGGGUAAGUUCCGACCUGCACGAAUGGCGUAAUGAUGGCCAGGCUGUCUCCACCCGAGACUCAGUGAAAUUGAACUCGCUGUGAAGAUGCAGUGUACCCGCGGCAAGACGGAAAGACCCCGUGAACCUUUACUAUAGCUUGACACUGAACAUUGAGCCUUGAUGUGUAGGAUAGGUGGGAGGCUUUGAAGCGUGGACGCCAGUCUGCGUGGAGCCAACCUUGAAAUACCACCCUUUAAUGUUUGAUGUUCUAACGUUGGCCCCUGACCGGGGUUGCGGACAGUGUCUGGUGGGUAGUUUGACUGGGGCGGUCUCCUCCCAAAGCGUAACGGAGGAGCACGAAGGUUAGCUAAUCCUGGUCGGACAUCAGGAGGUUAGUGCAAUGGCAUAAGCUAGCUUGACUGCGAGCGUGACGGCGCGAGCAGGUGCGAAAGCAGGUCAUAGUGAUCCGGUGGUUCUGAAUGGAAGGGCCAUCGCUCAACGGAUAAAAGGUACUCCGGGGAUAACAGGCUGAUACCGCCCAAGAGUUCAUAUCGACGGCGGUGUUUGGCACCUCGAUGUCGGCUCAUCACAUCCUGGGGCUGAAGUAGGUCCAAGGGUAUGGCUGUUCGCCAUUUAAAGUGGUACGCGAGCUGGGUUUAGAACGUCGUGAGACAGUUCGGUCCCUAUCUGCCGUGGGCGCUGGAGAAUUGAGGGGGGCUGCUCCUAGUACGAGAGGACCGGAGUGGACGCAUCACUGGUGUUCGGGUUGUCAUGCCAAUGGCACUGCCCGGUAGCUAAAUGCGGAAGAGAUAAGUGCUGAAAGCAUCUAAGCACGAAACUUGCCCCGAGAUGAGUUCUCCCUGAGACUUUAAGUCUCCUGAAGGAACGUUGAAGACGACGACGUUGAUAGGCCGGGUGUGUAAGCGCAGCGAUGCGUUGAGCUAACCGGUACUAAUGAACCGUGAGGCUUAACCUU